GACGAACGCUGGCGGCGUGCUUAACACAUGCCAGUCGAACGGAAAGGCCCUGCUUUUGUGGGGUUCUCGAGUGGCGAACGGGUGAGUAACACGUGAGUAACCUGCCCUUGACUUUGGGAUAACUUCAGGAAACUGGGGCUAAUACCGGAUAGGAGCUCCUGCUGCAUGGUGGGGGUUGGAACGUUUCGGCGGUUGGGGAUGGACGGGCGGCUGAUCGGCUUGUUGGUGGGGUAGUGGCUUACCAAGGAUUUGACGGGUAGCCGGCCUGAGAGGGUGACCGGCCACAAGGGGACUGAGAUACGGCCCAGACUCCAACGGGAGGCAGCAGUGGGGAAUAUUGCACAGUGGGCGGAAGCCUGAUGCAGCAACGCCGCGUGCGGGAUGACGGCCUUCGGGUUGUAAACCGCUUUCGCCUGUGACGAAGCGUGAGUGACGGUAAUGGGUAAAGAAGCACCGGCUAACUACGUG
rnacentral:rRNA from 1 species